AUUGAACGCUGGCGGCAGGCCUAACACAUGCAAGUCGAGCGAGCGGCGGACGGGUGAGUAAUGUAUGGGGAUCUGCCUGAUGGCGGGGGAUAACUACUGGAAACGGUAGCUAAUACCGCAUACCAUCAGAUGUACCCAUAUGGGAUUAGCUAGUGGGUGUGGUAACGGCUCACCAAGGGGACUAUCCCUAGCUGGUCUGAGAGGAUGACCAGCCACACUGGGACUGAGACACGGCCCAGACUCCUACGGGAGGCAGCAGUGGGGAAGAUUGCACAAUGGGCGCAAGCCUGAUGCAGCCAUGCCGCGUGUAUGAAGAAGGCUUUCGGGUUGUAAAGUACUUUCAGUCGGGAGGCGUUACCGACAGAAGAAGCACCGGCUAACUCCGUGCCAGCAGCCGCGGUAAUUC
rnacentral:rRNA from 1 species